CUUCAAGACUGCACUAGGAAAAACAGCAGGGAAGGGACAGAAUCCAGAGACAUUUUGGAGGACAAAUAGAUGGCCCUCCUUCAGCUGACUUAUGAUUGUAGGGAAAAAUUGGAAGAUGAGGUUUUUCUUUGCUUGAGUGGAUCAUGAUAUGUUUAAACAGGAUAAUCAAAGAAAGGAAAAAGUUUGUGCAGAAAUGUAAUCCUGUGUGUAGAUGGGCUUCCUAAUUUUCCCAUUAUGAUUUAAUUUUAUUAUACUUAUGAUGCAAGUGGGGCCUGAACUUCAUGAUAUUUAAAUAAUUCCUGAGCAUUUUGACUUUGAGUCUAAGGCCAAUUGGUGAUAUCUGUCCUGCAUUCUGCUUUACUUUUGAUGGUCAUUACUUAAAAUUUAUCUGAAGUUAACAUUGUUCAAAUUAUGUUUGGAAAUAACUCUAGAAAUGAAUGAUGUCUAAAUUUUGAAUGUUUUUCAAGUUUUUUAUAAAAAAAAUCUGGACGAUUUCAGCUAAAUAUGGAAGAUGUACAUAUCACCACAUAAAAGGGGUAUAAUUGAG
rnacentral:lncRNA from 1 species